UGGGGAAUAUUGGACAAUGGAGGGAACUCUGAUCCAGCAAUUCUGUGUGUGUGAAGAAGGUUUUAGGACUGUAAAACACUUUUAGUAGGGAAGAAAAAAAUGACGGUACCUACAGAAGAAGCAACGGCUAAAUACGUGCCAGCAGCCGCGGUAAUACGUAUGUUGCGAGCGUUAUCCGGAAUUAUUGGGCUUAAAGGGCAUCUAGGCGGUUAAACAAGUUGAAGGUGAAAACCUGUGGCUCAACCAUAGGCUUGCCUACAAAACUGUAUAACUAGAGUACUGGAAAGGUGGGUGGAACUACACGAGUAGAGGUGAAAUUCGUAGAUAUGUGUAGGAAUGCCGAUGAUGAAGAUAACUCACUGGACAGCAACUGACGCUGAAGUGCGAAAGCUAGGGGAGCAAACAGG
rnacentral:rRNA from 1 species